rnacentral:rRNA from 1 species
AUUGAACGCUGGCGGCAUGCUUUACACAUGCAAGUCGAACGGCAGCGCGGGCUUCGGCCUGGCGGCGAGUGGCGAACGGGUGAGUAAUACAUCGGAACGUGCCCAGUAGUGGGGGAUAGCUCGGCGAAAGCCGGAUUAAUACCGCAUACGACCUGAGGGUGAAAGCGGGGGAUCUUCGGACCUCGCGCUAUUGGAGCGGCCGAUGGCAGAUUAGCUAGUUGGUGGGGUAAAGGCCUACCAAGGCGGCGAUCUGUAGCUGGUCUGAGAGGACGACCAGCCACACUGGGACUGAGACACGGCCCAGACUCCUACGGGAGGCAGCAGUGGGGAAUUUUGGACAAUGGGCGAAAGCCUGAUCCAGCAAUGCCGCGUGUGUGAUGAAGGCCUUCGGGUUGUAAAGCACUUUUGGCGGGAACGAAAAGGACUGUGCCAAUACCACGGUUCGAUGACGGUACCCGAAGAAUAAGCACCGGCUAACUACGUG